UCCGACUUGACGCCGGCAGUCUCGCUAGAGUCCUCAGCAUAACCUGUUAGCAACUAGCGACAGGGGUUUCGCUCGUUAAGGGACUUAACCCGACACUUCACAGCACGAGCUGACGACAGCCAUGCAGCACCUGUGCACGUUCCACCCGAAGGUGUGGCCCGGCUUUCACCGGGUUAAUCCGUGCAUGUCAAACCCAGGAUAAGGUUCUUCGCGUUGCUUCGAAUUAAGCCACAUGCUCCACCGCUUGUGUGAGCCCCCGUCAAUUCCUUUGAGUUUUAGCCUUGCGACCGUACUCCCCAGGCGGUGCACUAAACACUUUUGCUUCGAUUCGGAAGGUGUCAGAACCACCCGAAUCUAGUGCACAUCGUUUACGGCGUGGACUAC
rnacentral:misc_RNA from 1 species